rnacentral:rRNA from 1 species
UACGUAGGGGGCUAGCGUUGUCCGGAAUCAUUGGGCGUAAAGCGCGUGUAGGCGGUUCGGUAAGUCCGCUGUGAAAGUCGGGGGCUCAACCCUCGAAAGCCGGUGGAUACUGUCGGGCUAGAGUACGGAAGAGGCGAGUGGAAUUCCUGGUGUAGCGGGUGAAAAUGCGUCGAUAUCAGGAGGAACACCAGUGGCGAAGG